GAUGAACGCUGGCGGCGUGCCUAAUACAUGCAAGUCGAGCGAACGGACGAGAAGCUUGCUUCUCUGAUGUUAGCGGCGGACGGGUGAGUAACACGUGGAUAACCUACCUAUAAGACUGGGAUAACUUCGGGAAACCGGAGCUAAUACCGGAUGAUAUUUUGAACCGCAUGGUUCAAAAGUGAAAGACGGUCUUGCUGUCACUUAUAGAUGGAUCCGCGCUGCAUUAGCUAGUUGGUAAGGUAACGGCUUACCAAGGCAACGAUGCAUAGCCGACCUGAGAGGGUGAUCGGCCACACUGGAACUGAGACACGGUCCAGACUCCUACGGGAGGCAGCAGUAGGGAAUCUUCCGCAAUGGGCGAAAGCCUGACGGAGCAACGCCGCGUGAGUGAUGAGGGUCUUCGGAUCGUAAAACUCUGUUAUUAGGGAAGAACAUAUGUGUAAGUAACUGUGCACAUCUUGACGGUACCUAAUCAGAAAGCCACGGCUAACUACGUG
rnacentral:rRNA from 1 species